rnacentral:ncRNA from 1 species
GGGUGCCUAUAAAGGGUACUUCGGUGUAAGGGAAUCCGGUGAAAGUCCGGGGCUGUACCUGCAGCUGUAAUCCCCGUCAAUGGGUCUGCUCGACAAAAGCCACUGAGCAAUCGGGAAGGUGAGCGGACUGGGGAAAGCCAGAAGACCUACCAAGUUUUA